rnacentral:rRNA from 1 species
CACGUAGGGGGCAAGCGUUGUCCGGAUUUAUUGGGCGUAAAGAGCUCGUAGGCGGCUCACUAAGUCGGGUGUGAAAUUUCGAGGCUCAACCUCGAAACGCCACCCGAUACUGGUGUGGCUAGAGUCCGGUAGGGGAGCGUGGAAUUCCUGGUGUAGCGGUGAAAUGCGCAGAUAUCAGGAGGAAUACCGAUGGCGAAGGCAGGUCUCUGGGCUGACACUGACGCUCAUGCACGAAAGCGUGGGGAGCAAACAGG